AGAUCGAUAACUCAGUCAAUAGAGCAUGAGGCUCUUAAUCCCAGGGUGGUGGGUUCGAGCCCCACGCUGGUCAA